GACGAACGCUGGCGGCGUGCUUAACACAUGCAAGUCGAACGAGUGGGAACGGGUGAGUAACACGUGGGUAACCUCCCAUCAGAGGGGAUAACACUUGGAAACAGGUGCUAAACCGAUAUUGAUGGAUGGACCCGCGGUGCAUUAGCUAGUUGGUGAGGUAACGGCUUACCUAGGCGACGAUCCCUAGCUGGUCUGAGGGGAUGAUCGGACACACUGGGACUGAGACACGGCCCAGACUCCUACGGGAGGCAGCAGUGGGGAAUAUUGCACAAUGGGCGCAAGCCUGAUGCAGCCAUGCCGCGUGUAUGAAGAAGGCCUUCGGGUUGUAAAGUACUUUCAGUCGGGAGGCGUUACCGACAGAAGAAGCACCGGCUAACUCCGUGCCAGCCGCCGCGGUAAUUC
rnacentral:rRNA from 1 species